rnacentral:lncRNA from 1 species
AUUUUUCAAUAUUAAUAUUAGCUAAGACUGACUCUACUUUAUUUUAAUUUAAUUAAUUGAACCGAAAUCUAUAUUUUGGGUCAAACAGUUUCAUAUUCAUCCAUUUCCUGUUACAAGAAGAGCGUGGUCUGAAUAAUAAAAAAUGAGGGAAUAUAUCCAUAAGGUUCACAAUAUUCAUGAAAAUAUAAGCAAACAUGAAAUGGAGUAUUAUUUAUUUAUAGCAUCUGAGGUGAUCAACCAGAAGUACAACUACUUAUUUUGUGUUACAGCAAUCAAGAACCACAUGCAAACAUAGGAUUUUUUUGUUUUGUUUCAGAAAACCACAAUCCAUGACAUUGGGAUUCCUAUCUUAAGGUCUUGUUCAAUGGCCUUCUGUUUCCGUUGAGUCGGACAUGCAAGAACAAUCAGGGCAAGGACAUUCAACUUUCUCAUCUAUUGUGCUACUCAUGCAAGAGCAAUCAGGACAAGGACAUUCUACUGUAGUCAGCAGAUUUCUUGUUCUUGGGAAGUUCAUAUUCACACUAUAUGUCUUGGCUAAGUCGCUUGACUCGAUGGUUCCCGGAGUUUCAACAUGACUCUCAGUCAACUGGCUAGUGCUGAUAUAGAAGCAAAGCGCGAAAACCAUGAAAAGCAAUGCAACUGAGAUUUUCUUAGCCAUGGAUCCAAAAAAUUAAGUUAGUCCCUUCUGUAAUACUUGUACUAAUGAUGUGGAUUGUCAAAGCAAUUGAGGUGUUGAAAUUUAUAGUGAUAGAUUGCUUAUAGAGUUUGAUUUUAGCAUGGAAUAAUUAGUGCUAGCUGCAUGGAUAUCUAUGUUGUAUUAGAGUAUAUG